GACAGAGGGUGCAAACGUUGUUCGGAAUUACUGGGCGUAAAGCGCGUGUAGGCUGCUCGGAAAGUCGGCUGUGAAACCCCGGGGCUCAACCCCGGGCCUGCAGUCGAUACGGCAGACUAGAGUUCGGUAGGGGAGACUGGAAUUCCUGGUGUAGCGGUGAAAUGCGCAGAUAUCAGGAGGAACACCGGUGGCGAAGGCGGGUCUCUGGGCCGUAACUGACGCUGAGGAGCGAAAGCAUGGGGAGCGAACAGG
rnacentral:rRNA from 1 species